GGAGCAUGUGGUUUAAUUCGAUGCAACGCGAAGAACCUUACCUACUCUUGACAUCCACAGAACUUAGCAGAGAUGCUUCGGUGCCUUCGGGAACUGUGAGACAGGUGCUGCAUGGCUGUCGUCAGCUCGUGUUGUGAAAUGUUGGGUUAAGUCCCGCAACGAGCGCAACCCUUAUCCUUUGUUGCCAGCACGUAAUGGUGGGAACUCAAGGGAGACUGCCGGUGACAAACCGGAGGAAGGUGGGGAUGACGUCAAGUCAUCAUGGCCCUUACGAGUAGGGCUACACACGUGCUACAAUGGCAGAUACAAAGUGAAGCGAACUCGCGAGAGCAAGCGGACCACAUAAAGUCUGUCGUAGUCCGGAUUGGAGUCUGCAACUCGACUCCANGAAG
rnacentral:rRNA from 1 species